rnacentral:rRNA from 1 species
UACGAAGGAGGCUAGCGUUGUUCGGAAUCACUGGGCGUAAAGCGCACGUAGGCGGCUCGUUAAGUCAGAGGUGAAAGCCUGGAGCUCAACUCCAGAACUGCCUUUGAUACUGGCGAGCUGGAGUAUGGCAGAGGUUGGUGGAACUCCGAGUGUAGAGGUGAAAUGCGUAGAUAUUCGGAAGAACACCAGUGGCGAAGGCGGCCAACUGGGCCAUUACUGACGCUGAGGUGCGAAAGCGUGGGGAGCAAACAGG